rnacentral:rRNA from 1 species
CAGUAGCCGGCGGGAAUACGAAGGGUGCAAGCGUUACUCGGAAUUACUGGGCGUAAAGCGUGCGUAGGUGGUGGUUUAAGUCCGUUGUGAAAGCCCUGGGCUCAACCUGGGAAUUGCAGUGGAUACUGGGUCACUAGAGUGUGGUAGAGGAUAGUGGAAUUUCCGGUGUAGCAGUGAAAUGCGUAGAGAUCGGAAGGAACAUCUGUGGCGAAGGCGACUAUCUGGGCCAACACUGACACUGAGGCACGAAAGCGUGGGGAGCAAACAGGAUUAGAUACCCCUGUAGUCCCUGUCUCUUAUU